GUGAGUUCUUUCCUUUACUUCUUCCCCUCCUCAUCUAAGGAGGGGGAGUGAGUGAGCGGUUGUGGUGUUCAGCUGCCUAGCACGGUAAAACCACCACACUCCGUCAGGGAUCAAGUCCUGCUGGUGUUGCCAGAUGUGUGUCCACAUUGCUUAUUGCUGGUGUUCAGCUGUGGUCUCAGCUGUAGAGAGACCAAAGGAGGAUUUGUGUUGAGCUGAUCUACAUCUUAACCAUUCUCAGUAUGCCAAAGAACAUCUUUAAGAAGUUCACUGACCGACAUCUACACCGGAUAUUUGAACUAACGUAAAUGAGCUUUGAAAGCUCAGUAUCUGGAUUAUGGAAGCAAGUAGAAGCUCAGUCUCCAUGUGUGUCUGCAGCCCCAAAAACUAAGUUAUACCAAGAAGGUUCUAUAG
rnacentral:lncRNA from 1 species